UACAGAGGUCUCAAGCGUUGUUCGGAUUCAUUGGGCGUAAAGGGUGCGUAGGCGGCGCGGUAAGUCGGGUGUGAAAUUUCGAGGCUUAACUUCGAAACUGCAUUCGAUACUGCCGUGCUAGAGGACUGGAGAGGAGACUGGAAUUUACGGUGUAGCGGUGAAAUGCGUAGAUAUCGUAAGGAAGACCAGUGGCGAAGGCGGGUCUCUGGACAGUUCCUGACGCUGAGGCGCGAAGGCCAGGGGAGCAAACGGG
rnacentral:rRNA from 1 species